UACGGAGGGUGCAAGCGUUAUCCGGAUUUACUGGGUUUAAAGGGUGCGUAGGUGGGCCUGUAAGUCAGUGGUGAAAUCUUCGAGCUUAACUCGGAAACUGCCAUUGAUACUAUAGGUCUUGAAUCAUCUGGAGGUGAGCGGAAUAUGUCAUGUAGCGGUGAAAUGCUUAGAUAUGACAUAGAACACCGAUUGCGAAGGCAGCUCACUACGGAUGUAUUGACACUGAGGCACGAAAGCGUGGGGAUCAAACAGG
rnacentral:rRNA from 1 species